rnacentral:rRNA from 1 species
UACAGAGGUCUCAAGCGUUGUUCGGAUUCAUUGGGCGUAAAGGGUGCGUAGGCGGCGAGGUGAGUCAGAUGUGAAAUCCCGGGGCUUAACCCCGGAACUGCAUUUGAUACUGCUUUGCUUGAGGACUGGAGAGGAGAUCGGAAUUCACGGUGUAGCAGUGAAAUGCGUAGAUAUCGUGAGGAAGGCCAGUGGCGAAGGCGGAUCUCUGGACAGUUCCUGACGCUGAGGCACGAAGGUCAGGGGAGCAAACGGG